rnacentral:rRNA from 1 species
AAGCUCGUAGUUGAAUUUCGGGAUCAAUUUAUUGGUCGUGCAAUAGUACGUACUGGUAUUAUUGAUUCCUACCUUCUGACGAACCAUGAUGUCAUUAAUUUGGUGUCAUGGGGAAUCAGGACUGUUACUUUGAAAAAAUUAGAGUGUUUAAAGCAGGCUCACGCUUGAAUACAUUAGCAUGGAAUAACGAAAUAGGACGUUUGAUUCUAUUUUGUUGGUUUCUAGGAUCGACGUAAUGAUUAAUAGGGAUAGUUGGG